rnacentral:rRNA from 1 species
UACGUAGGGUGCGAGCGUAAUCGGAAUUACUGGGCGUAAAGCGUGCGCAGGCGGUUUGUAAGUCAGAUGUGAAAUCCCCGGGCUCAACCUGGGACUGCGUUUGAAACUACAAGGCUAGAGUGUAGCAGAGGGGGGUAGAAUUCCACGUGUAGCAGUGAAAUGCGUAGAGAUGUGGAGGAAUACCAAUGGCGAGGCAGCCCCCUGGGUUAACACUGACGCUCAUGCACGAAAGCGUGGGGAGCAAACAGG